rnacentral:rRNA from 1 species
UACGAAGGGGGCUAGCGUUGCUCGGAAUCACUGGGCGUAAAGGGUGCGUAGGCGGGUUUUUAAGUCAGGGGUGAAAUCCUGGAGCUCAACUCCAGAACUGCCUUUGAUACUGAAGAUCUCGAGUCCGGGAGAGGUGAGUGGAACUGCGAGUGUAGAGGUGAAAUUCGUAGAUAUUCGCAAGAACACCAGUGGCGAAGGCGGCUCACUGGCCCGGUACUGACGCUGAGGCACGAAAGCCAGGGGAGCAAACGGG